AGAGUUUGAUCAUGGCUCAGGAUGAACGCUAGCGGCAGGCCUAAUACAUGCAAGUCGGACGGGAUUUUGGAGCUUGCUUCAAAUGAGAGUGGCGCACGGGUGCGUAACACGUAUGUAACCUACCCUUGUCAGGGGGAUAGCCUCUCGAAAGAGAGAUUAAGCCCGCAUAACACUAUGAUAUGGCAUCAUAUUAUAAUCAAAUAUUUAUAGGACAAGGAUGGGCAUGCGGAACAUUAGCUAGUUGGUAAGGUAAUGGCUUACCAAGGCUACGAUGUUUAGGGGAUCUGAGAGGAUGACCCCCCCACACUGGUACUGAGACACGGACCAGACUCCUACGGGAGGCAGCAGUAAGGAAUAUUGGUCAAUGGGCGGAAGCCUGAACCAGCCAUGCCGCGUGCAGGAAGACGGCCCUACGGGUUGUAAACUGCUUUUGCAGGGGAAUAAACCUCGAUACGUGUAUCGAGUUGAAUGUACUCUGAGAAUAAGGAUCGGCUAACUCCGUGCCAGCAGCCGCGGUAGUACGGAGGAUCCGAGCGUUAUCCGGAUUUAUUGAGUUUAAAGGGUGCGUAGGCGGCUCAUUAAGUCAGGGGUGAAAGACGGUAGCUUAACUAUCGCAGUGCCUUUGAUACUGAUGAGCUUGAAUGUAGUUGAGGUAGGCGGAAUGUGACAAGUAGCGGUGAAAUGCAUAGAUAUGUCACAGAACACCAAUUGCGAAGGCAGCUUACUAAAGUAUGAUUGACGCUGAGGCACGAAAGCGUGGGGAUCAAACAGGAUUAGAUACCCUAGUAGUCC
rnacentral:rRNA from 1 species